AGAGUUUGAUCCUGGCUCAGGAUGAACGCUAGCUACAGGCUUAACACAUGCAAGUCGAGGGGAAACGAUAUUGGAAGCUUGCUUCCGAUAGGCGUCGGCCGGCGCACGGGUGAGUAACGCGUAUCCAACCUGCCCACCACUUGGGGAUAACCUUGCGAAAGUAAGACUAAUACCCAAUGAUAUCUCUAGAAGACAUCUGAAAAGAGAUUAAAAGAUUUAAUCGGUGAUGGAUGGGGAUGCGUCUGAUUAGCUUGUUGGCGGGGUAACGGCCACCAAGGCGACGAUCAGUAGGGGUUCUGAGAGGAAGGUCCCCCANACUUGGAACUGAGACACGGUCCAAACUCCUACGGGAGGCA
rnacentral:rRNA from 1 species